UACAGAGGGUGCAAGCGUUGUUCGGAAUUAUUGGGCGUAAAGGGCGCGUAGGCGGUGCGGUAAGUCUGUAGUGAAAUCUCUGGGCUCAACUCAGAGUCUGCUAUAGAAACUGCCGUGCUAGAGUGUGGGAGAGGUGAGUGGAAUUCCCGGUGUAGCGGUGAAAUGCGUAGAUAUCGGAAGGAACACCUGUGGCGAAAGCGGCUCACUGGACCAUAACUGACGCUGAGGCACGAAAGCUAGGGGAGCAAACAGG
rnacentral:rRNA from 1 species